rnacentral:lncRNA from 1 species
AAAGAACAUUGUUUUCUGUUCAUCUUCCCUCCACAGUUUUCAGCAUUCAAUUAAAAAGCUUGGGAUCAAGAAACAGUUACACUUUUAAGCAAAAUGAUCUACAGAGUCUGACACACAGGGACUACCAGGUAACUAACUACCAGGUGGUCAUGCCCCACACCUUUAAUCCCAGCACUCUGGGGGCAGAAGCAGGCAAUCUCUGAAUUCAAGGUGAGCCUAGUCUACAGAACCAGUUCCAGGAUGCAUGGAGAAGCUGUCUGCCAAAACAAAAACAAACAAAACAAAACCAACAACAACAAGAACAACAAAAACCACUCUAAUAAUCUCUCUCAAUACCCCAUCUCUCCCUCUUUUCAAGAAGCUGAAUAGCCUGGCA